UUUUAUGUUUGAAAACCAAUCUGCAACUGUGGAAGCCUCAAAGACUGAGUCCCUGACAAUAGAUGUCACAGCUUUGGAGUACAUGCCCUACCUUGUGGAACAGUCCAACCUGCUCUUCAUGGUGUAUGGGCGAGUUGAGGAAAGUGACACUUCCCUUUGCACAAUGAAAGUUGUCAAUCUUCAGCCUCCUGAACUCACAAUGAAGAUGACUGGAUCUCCCCCGG